rnacentral:rRNA from 1 species
GACGAACGCUGGCGGCGUGCUUAACACAUGCAAGUCGAACGGAAAGGCCCUGCUUUUGUGGGGUGCUCGAGUGGCGAACGGGUGAGUAACACGUGAGUAACCUGCCCUUGACUUUGGGAUAACUUCAGGAAACUGGGGCUAAUACCGGAUAGGAGCUCCUGCUGCAUGGUGGGGGUUGGAAAGUCUCGGCGGUUGGGGAUGGACUCGCGGCUUAUCAGCUUGUUGGUGGGGUAGUGGCUUACCAAGCAUUUGACGGGUAGCCGGCUUGAGAGGGUGACCGGCCACAUUGGGACUGAGAGACGGCCCAGACGGCUACGGGAGGCAGCAGUGGGGAAUAUUGCACAAUGGGCGGAAGCCUGAUGCAGCAACGCCGCGUGCGGGAUGACGGCCUUCGGGUUGUAAACCGCUUUCGCCUGUGACGAAGCGUGAGUGACGGUAAUGGGUGAAGAAGCACCGGCUAACUACGUG